rnacentral:rRNA from 1 species
AUUGAACGCUGGCGGCAGGCCUAACACAUGCAAGUCGAGCGGAUGAAGGGAGCUUGCUCCUGGAUUCAGCGGCGGACGGGUGAGUAAUGCCUAGGAAUCUGCCUGGUAGUGGGGUAUAACGUCCUGAAACAGGCGCUAAUACCGCAUACGUCCUGAGGGAGAAAGUGGGGGAUCUUCGGACCUCACGCUAUCAGAUGAGCCUAGGUCGGAUUAGCUAGUUGGUGGGGUAAAGGCCUACCAAGGCGACGAUCCGUAACUGGUCUGAGAGGAUGAUCAGUCACACUGGAACUGAGACACGGUCCAGACUACUAAGGGAGGCAGCAGUGGGGAAUAUUGGACAAUGGGCGAAAGCCUGAUCCAGCCAUGCCGCGUGUGUGAAGAAGGUCUUCGGAUUGUAAAGCACUUUAAGUUGGGAGGAAGGGCAGUAAGUUAAUACCUUGCUGUUUUGACGUUACCAACAGAAUAAGCACCGGCUAACUUCGUG